AGAGUUUGAUCCUGGCUCAGAGCGAACGCUGGCGGCGUGCUUAACACAUGCAAGUCGAACGCGCAGCAUUCUGUAGCAAUACAGGGUGUGGGCGCGUGGCGAACGGGUGCGUAACACGUGGAUAACCUUCCUUGAGGUGGGGAAUAACCCAGUGAAAAUUGGGCUAAUACCGCAUAACAUGACGAUGGCACAUGCUGUUGUCUUCAAAGGCGCAAGUCGCCACAAGAGGGAUCCGCGGCCGAUUAGCUUGUUGGCGAGGUAAUGGCUCACCAAGGCAUUGAUCGGUAGCCGGACUGAGAGGUUGGCCGGCCACACUGGAACUGAGACACGGUCCAGACUCCUACGGGAGGCAGCAGUGGGGAAUCUUGCACAAUGGACGAAAGUCUGAUGCAGCAACGCCGCGUGGGGGAUGAAGCUUCUCGGAGUGUAAACCCCUUU
rnacentral:rRNA from 1 species